AGCAGCUUUGGGGCUGAGGCCUUGACCGCUUCCCUCAGACCUGCAGGAGCAAGGCAAGGUGACAAACGCCGGGCUGCUGCAGAUGAAAAACCCUUCCUAAAAAAUGAAGUUAAAAUUGAAGCUGACCUGAGUUUAAAAGCAAUUUUCUGAGAAUGCGGAGGCAUGAGGGGAAGUGCUUGAAUAUGCUGUUAAGUGGGGUUGUGAAUGUGGGAGCUGGUCAGCAGCAGGGAAGAGGUGCUGGGGGGGCCCUGCCAUGCGCCUGGAGCACGUCUCUCUCCAUCAUGGAGCAUGCUUCGUGUGACCGCUGAAUUCUGCCUGGAUAAAUGGAUUUUAGAAGAACAUAUGUAAUUUUUGAAACUACUUGACAAGGUAGUAAUAAAUCUGCCAGCAUUCCUACUUUGACCAAUGCUGAGCUGUAAUUCGGGCUUCAUUUCAAUACCUAAUGCCAUUCUGGGGUGGAAAGAGACCAUCCUAGCUUUGGAAUUAGAUUUCUCUACAACAAGUAUUAUACUCAACCCUGUAUCACUGCCUUUGAGGAACAGAAGUAUUUAAAAUCCUCUGUAAUGCAAUAAGCCUGAGCUCCAGCUAAGCAUGUGCUGUGCUGGUAUAAUGCUGGGCUGGUGGCGGCUCUUGUUAUGAUAUCGAACGUGAGGUAAACACAGGGCUUUUUUCAGGAGUAAUUAAUAAUUUAACCUCUGUGAAGUAGAGGUGGCACUUCAUUUAUCCCAAGUGUUCUUUGAUUUUUCUCUGUGGCCCAUUUCAGCUGGCAUGUCUGUCUCCCCUUCUCAUCCAUGCUGGCUGGCUUCAUAAUAAGCUUUUUCAGCAAAGUCCAGCUUUUUUUAUUUUUCAGAUAGCACUAAGCUUUUAUUUCACAUAAAAAUAAUUGUGUCUUACUGUAAAAGACACCCUCUGUUGAGCAGACCGCUGGUGUGAUAGGGAGCUGCAGCCCCUGCAAUCACUGCUGCAAAGCAGUACCCACUUUGCUACGCACAGCUCCUGGACCAGACCACGGAGUAUGCAUGUCUCUCUGUCUACCUUUGUGUGAAGCUAAAAAGAAUCUGUAGAGGAACUGUUAGAACAAGGCUUGAACUGGUGAUUGAGCACCUGAUGAAGGGCUGUGGCUGCCCAGGGAGCACAGGCAAAUUGUUUGCACCUGUGCUCUCCAAGCAACAGAAAGGGGUGCAACCACCCUGGACUCAUAUAAGGGCUAGCCAGGGAAGGGAGAGUGUUUCUUGAAGCUAGGUUGCUUGUUGAGGGGGAGUACUGUAUAGCCAGAGAUCCUCUUCUCCAGUUGACAAAGUCUUGGGCCUGCCUGACUUUAUGAGGCAUGAACCCGUACCCUAUGUGCAGAGUGCUAUAGCAGUUCACCAACCUGAUGUCUUUGUGCUGGACUAAGUCUUCUUGGUAGCUGUAACUUGUCUAGAUCUGCACCAAAGCAAGGUCUCAAGUGCCUCUUCAAAUACAAGUCCAAAUGACAGGAGUCCAGGAGUUUGGGAGUUAUUAGAGAGUGGUGGAGCCUAUGUGUGUGGGGACAUUUGCGUGUGUAAUGUGGUGCAAAGGCUGCUCGAUUUUGGUGUUGGUCUUCGAGCCAAAGUGUUUCCUGUGGGCCUCCUCCUUUGAAACAACAACUCUGCACCAGGAGCUUCUGCAGAAGGGGAAAAAUACUGCUUUGACUUUCAGUUUUCAUCGAAGACCUUGAAACACUCCUUGAUUAGGCAGGUGUUAUUAAUCUUGUGUUGUCUGACAUUAAACCUCAGACAGGUGUGCAAAGUCAAAUUCAGUGCUAUGGUAUGCUGGCUGUCACCGCUGGUCUCCAAGCCAAAGUGUUCUGGUUAAGACAUCUUCUGGCAACGGUAGUCAUGGAACUAUCUGCUUCUUACUAAAGAUGUAAUGGAGUUGAGGAAGCCAGCGGGAUUCUGCUCAUGAUGCUUUCUAAAGGAUUCAGUCUGUGCACCAGUUUAGCUCUGCUGGAAAUCCCCCCUGCUCCAGCUCAUUGCUCUGGGUUCAAGGACUGCCUAACCACAGGGGCUCCUGCGGUGAAUGGAAACUGCUCAGCAGUCAGGGACACAGAGAGAGGUGUGUAAGAAGUGACAACUUUGGAAACAGUAAUGCUGGUUUGCUACCGUCCUGGAAAGCUCAGCUCUGCCCAGAGUUUGUAGCAGCAGCAGCCAUGAGAAACUCCCCUUUGCUUUAUAAAUGCCAAUCUGGAGCAUCACUUCCAAAAAAAUUCGCUCUGAAGUUCAGUGUCCAAGUCUGAAAAGUAGAAUCCUUAUAUGAAGUAAAUCCUUGUGCCUUACUUAAGAAGAGCAUCCUUAUACUUUCUGGGGUGCCUGCAGUUGUGGUGGUCUGGCUCCUGAGGUGAGGAGUGUGAACUGGAAAACACACUGGAGGCAGGAGAAGAGGAAUUUUGCUGAGGUUCAGGUAAAUCUUGUUCUUAAGCAUCCAUAUUGUCAGUUCUUAUUCUUUCCAGCAGUAAACGGGUACUGCUGAAGUGCUUUUUACCAGUAUUUCAUUCCACACAAUACUACGUACAUCAUCUAAACAUCUGUUUUAUGCACAUCUUCAGAAUUUCGUGACAAAGCAGAUUCCCCUGAGGUUGUACUUCCAAGCUGAUCCUUAGCUGCACCAUUAUUGUAUUAUUUUUUAGGUAUUUUUUUUCAAGUUGCAUUGAUAACAUUAUUUGUUCUUUAGACAUAAGCUUUUGAAAAUCUAUUAUUUGAAGUCUACAAGCUAGAAAACAUAGACUGUCAUUCUAAAAAGUAAGAUUUUUGUGUUCUCUUUUGCAUGUUUAUGUUUUCCUGCAGUGGGGGUCAUUUCAACCUUGUUUAUCAGUGCUCUAGGGAAGGAUUUGCCCAGAUCUUGUGAUCUCUUUUUCUCAGAGAGGGAAACAUACAGGAGUUCUGGUACAAAGCUAAUUGUGCUGCUCGCUGAGACUUUUUGCCCUGGAUUUAGGGUUUGCUUGCUGUUUGCCAUGUGCCAGGGAAGAAGUCUGAAUUGUGCUGCUUACACUGUUCUCUGCUUGUGCUGGACAAAGGUUCGUUUCAAAUGCAAAGCAUAUGAGAUUGACUGGAAUAUUGUUGUAUGGGUCUCUAUUAAAUGAGGAAGUCUCUGUUUUAACUCUUCGUAGUGGAACUUGUAAGAACUAAACCAGCUCUGUUCCAAAGGCUCCUUCUCUUUCAUGGAUUAUAAUAUUUUAUUCAUGUGACAGUAGUCCCAUAAGGUUCCACAUGAACAUCUCUUCCUUUCCUCAGCAUUGUUAAUUUUAAAGGAUUUACUAAUUUUGGAUUUAGCAUUGGAUGGUGCCCUUGAUAAAACUCCAUGAGAAGUAUUAUUUACAUUAAAGGUUUCUGUUUCCUACUGAAAUCAGUGGAGAUGAGUCACAAAAGUGCAAAGAUGGCAAAAAGCCAGCAUUUGUGAAGAUUGAGCUCUUUAUCUUCCUUCUCCAGAGCUCCUUGCAGGAACAGCUCCAGCGGUUGUCCUGGAAGCGGUGUCAUUGUCACACAUUCAAUACAACCUUCCCUUUUAACAGAAGACAUGCGUUUCUUUAUCUCUCUAAUUAAAGCUUAGACUUCAAAACAUCAUGCAUUGUCUGUGGCUCCAGCCAUCUUCUUUUAGAAGAAGAAUAACCCUUUCUUUUUUUUGGGGGAAAAAAGUCUCAAUGCCAUCUCUAUACCUCAUGGAUUUUGAAGUCAGCACAUGAACAUUGUGAAUUGCAUAAAUCCAGUGGAUGUUUCGUGCUUCAACACAAAAACUUGUCACCCAGGACAUUAUUGCCCGAGGCUGGGAACAGAGAAGCUGCAAGUCCCUGCCAGACGCACUGCAGACAUACUGAUAGAUCUCUGCAAUGUAUUUUUUACUGUCCAAAUACUAGCUUCAUAAGUUCAUGUAAAAGUCAAGCAAUAAAAAUAUCUCCACACCAGGCUAAGGGUAUUCAUAUCCUUUCUCUUCAGUCAAAUACAAAUGAUCGUGCUCAUUUAAAAACCUCCCUGCUGUGGUGCCCCAGCCUAUUUCUCUUAUCUUAUGACUAACAAUGCUCAUUGUCCUGCUCUUGCUAUUUUGAGGAUGCUAAAGGUGGAGAGCUUUCUGCUUUUUCAUUUCUGUGUCCUGCUCCUGGAUAUGCUGUCUGACAUAUUUUUUCUAAG